GACGAACGCUGGCGGCGUGCUUAACACAUGCAAGUCGAACGGAAAGGCCUUUUCGGAGGUACUCGAGUGGCGAACGGGUGAGUAACACGUGGGUGAUCUGCCCUGCACUCUGGGAUAAGCCUGGGAAACUGGGUCUAAUACCGGAUAGGACCGCACUUUAGUGUGUGUGGUGGAAAGUUUUUUCGGUGUAGGAUGAGCCCGCGGCCUAUCAGCUUGUUGGUGGGGUAAUGGCCUACCAAGGCGGCGACGGGGAGCCGGACUGAGAGGUUGGUCGGCCACAUUGGGACUGAGGUACGGCCCAGACUCCUACGGGAGGCAGCAGUGGGGAAUAUUGCACAAUGGGCGCAAGCCUGAUGCAGCGACGCCGCGUGGGGGAUGACGGCCUUCGGGUUGUAAACUCCUUUCGCCAGGGACGAAGCGUUUUGUGACGGUACCUGGAGAAGAAGCACCGGCUAACUACAUG
rnacentral:rRNA from 1 species